AGACUCCGGCACGCACUUAGCGUACAUCAAUGAGCUUGCAACUCAACAUGAACUUCACUACGGAGCC
rnacentral:tRNA from 1 species